rnacentral:rRNA from 1 species
AACGUAGGUGGCAAGCGUUAUCCGGAAUUACUGGGCGUAAAGGGUGUGCAGGCGGGGUGGCAAGUGGUGUAUGAAAUCUCCCAGCUUAACUGGGAUAGGUUAUGCCAGACUGCUACUCUAGAGGACGAGAGAGGGGCGUGGAAUUCCGGGUGUAGUGGUGAAAUGUGUAGAGAUCGGGAGGAACACCGGUGGCGAAGGCGGUCUUCUGGACGGUGACUGACGCUGAGGCGCGAAAGCGUGGGGAGCAAACGGG